CAGGUUGCUUGUCUGGAGAUGGAGCCACUACAGGCAGGGCCUGGGCGCCUGGAGUCGGGCAUGAAAGGAAAUAGCGCCUCAUCGCUCUUAUCUAAGCCCAGAGGUCGACUUCGCUUGAAAAGAUCGAGAAUGGGGGAGGGGAUUGACACUCACUUGCAGACAUCAACAGUUUCCAGAAAACUCCGUUCAAUUCCUUCACCACGAACCCACCAACCAAGGAACUGGCGAGACCCACCAGCCAACCAGGAGAACACAGACCCGGUUUGUCUUUUGACAACCGAGUGGAACUGCCGGGGCCGGCGCCUGCCCUGCGGGUCCCCUCCCUUGGCAGAGAAGAAAACCAAAUAAACCUUGAACAGCCUUGGCUUCG